GCCUGGGGUGGACUCCAGAGACCUGCAGCCACGCGCAGCUCGCCGCCGCUGUUGUAAGCUGUUGUCAGCAAGUUCUUCCUUCUGGAAUCCACCACUUGGGCCUAAGGGGAGGCUGGUUUGUGUCCUAGAAGAACCGGGUCCCUCCGCCCUAACCAUCAGGUCGGCGUUACUUGAGGCGUUCUGAUCCCUUCAGCCUUCCGGUGCCAGCUAUGCAGUGAUGGCGCCCCCUGGUGUCCAAGGAAAGAGGCGCGACUGCCGUUAAGUGCAGAUCUUCCAGGGGAGAGAGGAAGCAUUUCCGCCCGCCCAAAUUCCCAAAUUUCUCCUCCUUGGACCAGCCAGUCCACCUACCUCCAUUCAUUUGGGCAUUUGUUCUUCAUUUAUUCAUUCAUCUGUUUGUUCAUUCAAGCACCCACUGCGUUCCGGGUACCGAGUCUGACCCUGGAAGUACACAGAUAGAUCAUGGCCAGGCUUUAGCAUCAAGGAGCCCUCAGGCUGAGGGAGGCACAGGCUCUCACAUCACAGCAGGAUCUUUGCCUCCUGAAGUUUCAGGAGGUUCAUGGAUCCCCUGCAGCCUCUCCAUGUGCUUUGGGAAUAGGGAAGCAUCUAUGGACCUCACCUUCAGAACCACUCUUCAAACAAACAACAACCUGCAGCUGAGGAGUCACCUUCAGGGGAAGAGGUGGACCAAGGAGGAGGAGCCAGCCAGCCUCAGGCACAGAGAACCCAAGCCAGAACCCAUCAGGACCCUGGAGAGCUCCGAGCCAGCUGGACAUUCAGUGUUCUGCAUCAUGCAGCAAAUCUGGCCAAGUUGGGAGAAGUCUUCUUUCUCAAACCCCCUUCUGACUUUUAAAGGAAGGGAGGCCUUCCACUCUGUUGAGAACUUGUGUUACACGAGGACACAGAGGCUAAAAAGUAGAAUCUUGGAGUGUUGGGGCAGAAAGUGGCUGUCACUGACUUCCCUCUGAGAUUCCAACCUCAAAUCUGACUACAUCACAUAAUCACUACCUGCAGUGGUCAAGUUCUGGUUCCAAAGCUGGUCUCUAACCUCGGGGAGGAAAUUUAACACCAGAAAGCCUACAAUGAAAGAGCUACUAAAAAAAUAAUAAAUGGCUCACAUUCUGUGAGUAGCAUGUGUAUUUGGUUCUAGAGCACCAGAGAAGUGAAAUGAACUAGACAAAGUUACCCCCAAAAUGUUCCAUAUGAUUUGGAUGUGUGUUCCUUCCAAAUCUCAUGUUGAAAUGUGAUCUCCAAUGUUGGGAGUGGGGCCUGGCGGGAGGUGAUUGGAUCACGGGGAUGGAUACCUCAUAAAUGGUUUAGCACCAUCCCCCUGGUGAUGAGUGAGUUCUCGCUCUGGGAGUUCAUGAGAGAUCUGACUGUUUAAAACAGCAUGGCACCUCCCCCCACCACUUCUUGUGCCCACUCUCACCAUGUCACAUGCUGGCUCCCUGCUGCCUUCCGCCAUGAUUUUAAGAUUCCUGAGGCCUUACUAGAAGCCAAGCACAUGUUGGUACCAUGCUUCUCAUACAGCCUCCAAAAACAGAAGUCAAUUAAACCUGUUUUCUUUGUAAAUUA